CUCCUCCUCCUCCUCCUCCUCCUCGCCCAGCCCCGCCGGAGCCCCGCAGCAGCCGUGAGAGGCAGCCUGUCUGAUCCCUGUCAAAUGCCGACGGCUUCCCUCCCCCGUCUGCUCCACUGGGACAGUCUGCCAUCACAUGGCUGGAGGCACCAGAGCUGCUUGCUGCAGUCCCAUGGUGGCUCCCCUGCUCUCAGGCACAUCCCUGGCAGCUGCCCUUCCCGCUGCCUUUGGGGGAAACCUGCCGCUUCACCCGCCGCAGCCCCGACAGCCAAGUGUCUCAGAGGGGUUUCCUCCAGCAGCUGCUCCAGAGGCUCCUCAGGAGACAUGUCUUGCCUCAUCCCAGCUGGCUGCUGGUGGUGGCCACUGUGAAGAGCUUUCAGGCCUUCUCUGAAGUCCCAGGGGAGAGUGACGUGCUAUGAGACAGGUAUCUGUCAGCUCCACCGUCCCAGGGAGUGAUACCCAGAGCCGGCAGUCAGGGCAGCCGGGGAUCACACCAACAGCGUGCACGUGUUGCGCAAUUCCCCUUCUCACGUUCGGACUUCAGGUGCACCAGAAACCAAGGCAGGGAGUGACAAGUCUGUCCAGGCUUCCCUCCCACACUGUGAGCUGCUGGAGACGGCCUGCAGAAGAAAGGCUGUUCGAGUUUGUGCCCACAGAACAGACCUGUGUCUCUGAAGAAACAGGGAAGGAUGCUGUAAAAACAGCUACAUAUGUUGUGGAGGAGGCGCGGAGCACAGGAAGGUCUCCAGCCAGCCCCCGGGAGAGAGGAGCUCGUGCAAACCAAGAGCACAGGCUUGAAACAUCCACACCUGUCCUCCUGCACGCCGCCUGAGGUGGGGCAGCCCGGACCACCCGGGGCAGCUCCCUUUGGACAAGGACGUUGCUUACCAUCUCCCACGGAUGGACUUAACCUUGCUGCUGGGUUUGGAGGGCACCAAUAUUUGCCCAGGGGGUUUACUAUUGCUGGCCCUUCCCAGCCCAUGAGAAGCCACCUGCUGGUGAGGCCCCAUCUCUACAUCCAGCAUCAGGCAUGAGGUGCUGUAUUUCUUCCACCGAGGGACGUCCAGGCUACAAAGAAGGUGCCUGGGCCACGUGGCAGGCUCCUUUCUCGCUCUGCAGGCUGCUACGAGGUAUUGUGCAAUACGUCUCUGCCAAAUUUUUUAUUUUACUUCCACCAAAGAAUACAUCUUACACUGGCGUGGUGGUAGGGGAGGCCCAGUAACACAAGUUUUAUAACAGGCUUUUUUCUCCCCACUGCAAAGUACUGGCCUUUUCUGCAGACUCUGUUGGUGUUUUGGGCCCCCGGUGCUCCACACGUGCGGGCACUGUCUCUUGGGCUGGGCUUUCACAUCCGCACUCCCAGAAGCCCUGGCAGAGCAGGACAGCUGUCAGACGCCCGUCCCCAAGACCUGCUGGUGAAGAUGCUGCUAAAGGAGGAGCCGAUGUGUCCCCCCCUUCCCUGCCUGCCGCACCGCAGGCAGAUGGGCACGGCUUGUGCAGUGUCACUGGCCCAGGGAAGCAACCUUCAGUUGAAGCUGUGGGAUGUGGGCAGCAAAGACUUCUCGUCUAGACAGAUGGCUCAUCCCAGACACAGACGCUUGGCUUGGACACCCCCUCAACCCACCUCCCUACGGAGAGCGAGCGCAGGUCAGUCCGGGACCCUCGUCUGCUGCCCUCACGGUCUCUGAAAAGGAGCAACCAGCCAUCGGUGCUGGCGGCGUGUGAGCUUUUCCUUCCCAGUCCCCUCCGACCCUUUCUUGGAUGCAAGCAGCUACGGCGAAUACUGAAUGUGACUUCGUCGGCCAUAGCUAUCAGCCCUCCCCCCUCCUAAUCCUUAAGGCUGUGGAUGAUUUCCUCUGUGGCCGGACGCCGGGAUGCUGGUGACCCACUUCUCGAGUCUGAAGGCAUCGUGGAGCACAGGGUAGCCACAGCGCCCCGCAGCUCUGUUGAAGAUGAAGUGCUGGCAGCCGGGAGGCAGCAAGGGUUGAAUGCGAUUGCUUCUGAGAUGCACCCUGCGCGCUUCUCCCCAGCAGAUGCUCCUGCCAUUGCUGCCUGACAAAACGUGCCCUCGACCCACAAGAACAGGCUCCCUGCAGGUGUAACCUGGCUGGGGGUGACCGGCUUCAAUUUCAUCCUGCCAAGGAGCUGGCCCCGCGCUCUCUGCCGAAAGCCUCCAAGGACCCUAUUAAGCUGGGGGCUCCUAGACCUUUUUUUUUCCUGAGGAGCAGCUUUAUAUAAGUGGGCUGUGCCUCAUCGAUGCAAUUUGCACUGUUGUCCUUUCCUGGCCCAUCCUCUGAGCAUUUCAUUGUGGCAUCUGGCACUGCUGUGCUAACUCCUACCUGGCGCCGUCCUCCCUCGGCUGAGCUCAGCCUGACGGAACAGUCGAUUUAUAUACUGGAGACACUCACGUCAACGGCUGUGUGCAGCUGCAAUUGUCACUCCUUUCAAAACCAUCAGCUGGUUGCUUUUCUUUUUUCAACUUUACAUCGCUGUUUCCAAGAAUAUUGGGUGGUUUCUAAGGAUGCUGUGUGCAUAAGACCCUGCCCCGCCAAGGUUAUAAACUCACAUAUGCUUUGGUGUGUUAACAGAUGGGGUACUUGGGCAUGUCACUGUCCCUGAGAGUCUGUCUAGCCCCUGAAGCUGACCUGAUGUCUGAUGCUGAUUUUCCAAAGCAGAAAAUCUCCAUGGGCCCCUGAGUCCAGGCAAGGUCUUGUGGGUGAGCUCAGUCUAAACUCCAAGCGACCACAACUCGCUGUGCUACGUAUUUCUGUGCAUAGGCUUGCUCAGCCUCAGCAGAAACACUGAACAGUGCAUUGUACCUAGUUAUGCAGCUUAUCUCAUUUUCAGACUCUCCCUAAAUACUUGCAGUCAACAGUUGUGUUCAGUUUGUUCUGGACUCCGGGCUCCCUCCAGGGACAAGGCUGUCCCGGGGGGAGUGUGGUCUCCUGCUAAACACGCUGGAAACAGGCGAUGAGGCAUGUAGUCCUUGGGCUUGAACUGGAGAAUAUGGUGUUAUUUCUCUAGUAAGGGUACUGGCUCCUAUUGUACACCCCUGUCCUAAAUCCCACCCUAUUCUGCCCGAGGGAAGCCACCAGCUGCUGUGUUUUCCCAUGGCUUGUUGCAGGGUCACUGUCUUCAGCAAAGCAAGUUUCUCAUGGUAUUUUAGCAUUCGUACAGACCCUGUGUCCCUGUCAGGGUCUUUUCCAUCGUUCCUGACCAGGUUGUGGCUGCAACACAUGUAAUCAGGCAGUGGGACAAAGACUGCAUAACAAAAUUCUCAGCAACGUUUAUUUGAGAGAUUCAGCCACUGUGAUGAAAGGCCCUGUCCUGAUCCUGUUGACUGUAAUGGACAUUUCGCUAAUAACCUCAGGAGACCAGGAUCUGACUUUCCCUGAUUUGUGAACAAGACCACUGUAGCUUUGGGAGAAAUGAAAUCCUUUCCCCUACUGUUUGGAUGGGCAUCAUGCUUCUUCUUUGGAUGAUGUUCUCACAACGGGCAAUUACCUGAGACAUGGUGCAGCGUGUGUCAGAGGAGUGUACUGUGGCAAUUUCGCUCAUCGUCAUAAAUUUAGCCCUGAGCCUGGAAGAUGGCUUGUACUAGCCCGAGCAGAGCUAAGGUUACCUCCAUGGUCACAGCCCUGCAUUUCUGGUCUGCGCAAUCGCUGGUGCUGCAGAACCCAGGUUUGAACUUCCAUUUCUUUUUAUUCUUUCCUAACAGACUUGGUAGAGGAAGGGGUGUUGAGAUGGUUUCUCUGUCUUCCCCCGAGUUUUAUAUUUCUGGAAUAUGUCUCAAAUGUACUUACGGAAAAGGAAUGCAAUUCAGCAGUCUGGCUGCGCUAGCAGAGCAAAUGUUUUGCUGGUGGUAGCUCUUUCCCCCUUCAUGUUAGCACUGAAUUUGUUCUGGUG